CACCGAAGCUGCGGCAGCGACACUGUGUGUUGUUGGGUAGGGGAGCGUUCUGUAAGCCUGUGAAGGUGUGCUGUGAGGCAUGCUGGAGGUAUCAGAAGUGCGAAUGCUGACAUAAGUAACGAUAAAGCGGGUGAAAAGCCCGCUCGCCGGAAGACCAAGGGUUCCUGUCCAACGUUAAUCGGGGCAGGGUGAGUCGACCCCUAAGGCGAGGCCGAAAGGCGUAGUCGAUGGGAAACAGGUUAAUAUUCCUGUACUUGGUGUUACUGCGAAGGGGGGACGGAGAAGGCUAUGUUGGCCGGGCGACGGUUGUCCCGGUUUAAGCGUGUAGGCUGGUUUUCCAGGCAAAUCCGGAAAAUCAAGGCUGAGGCGUGAUGACGAGGCACUACGGUGCUGAAGCAACAAAUGCCCUGCUUCCAGGAAAAGCCUCUAAGCAUCAGGUAACAUCAAAUCGUACCCCAAACCGACACAGGUGGUCAGGUAGAGAAUACCAAGGCGCUUGAGAGAACUCGGGUGAAGGAACUAGGCAAAAUGGUGCCGUAACUUCGGGAGAAGGCACGCUGAUAUGUAGGUGAAGUCCCUCGCGGAUGGAGCUGAAAUCAGUCGAAGAUACCAGCUGGCUGCAACUGUUUAUUAAAAACACAGCACUGUGCAAACACGAAAGUGGACGUAUACGGUGUGACGCCUGCCCGGUGCCGGAAGGUUAAUUGAUGGGGUCAGCGCAAGCGAAGCUCUUGAUCGAAGCCCCGGUAAACGGCGGCCGUAACUAUAACGGUCCUAAGGUAGCGAAAUUCCUUGUCGGGUAAGUUCCGACCUGCACGAAUGGCGUAAUGAUGGCCAGGCUGUCUCCACCCGAGACUCAGUGAAAUUGAACUCGCUGUGAAGAUGCAGUGUACCCGCGGCAAGACGGAAAGACCCCGUGAACCUUUACUAUAGCUUGACACUGAACAUUGAGCCUUGAUGUGUAGGAUAGGUGGGAGGCUUUGAAGUGUGGACGCCAGUCUGCAUGGAGCCGACCUUGAAAUACCACCCUUUAAUGUUUGAUGUUCUAACGUGGACCCGUGAUCCGGGUUGCGGACAGUGUCUGGUGGGUAGUUUGACUGGGGCGGUCUCCUCCUAAAGAGUAACGGAGGAGCACGAAGGUUGGCUAAUCCUGGUCGGACAUCAGGAGGUUAGUGCAAUGGCAUAAGCCAGCUUGACUGCGAGCGUGACGGCGCGAGCAGGUGCGAAAGCAGGUCAUAGUGAUCCGGUGGUUCUGAAUGGAAGGGCCAUCGCUCAACGGAUAAAAGGUACUCCGGGGAUAACAGGCUGAUACCGCCCAAGAGUUCAUAUCGACGGCGGUGUUUGGCACCUCGAUGUCGGCUCAUCACAUCCUGGGGCUGAAGUAGGUCCCAAGGGUAUGGCUGUUCGCCAUUUAAAGUGGUACGCGAGCUGGGUUUAGAACGUCGUGAGACAGUUCGGUCCCUAUCUGCCGUGGGCGCUGGAGAACUGAGGGGGGCUGCUCCUAGUACGAGAGGACCGGAGUGGACGCAUCACUGGUGUUCGGGUUGUCAUGCCAAUGGCACUGCCCGGUAGCUAAAUGCGGAAGAGAUAAGUGCUGAAAGCAUCUAAGCACGAAACUUGCCCCGAGAUGAGUUCUCCCUGACCCUUUAAGGGUCCUGAAGGAACGUUGAAGACGACGACGUUGAUAGGCCGGGUGUGUAAGCGCAGCGAUGCGUUGAGCUAACCGGUACUAAUGAACCGUGAGGCUUAACCUUACAACGCCGAAGGUGUUU
rnacentral:rRNA from 1 species